AUUUAACUGAUCGUCUUUCUAUGAAUCAAAUUUGCAGGUUAAUUUCUCACUAUAUCAACGGCUAAACGGAUAAAAACAAUUCCUUUACAAUGUUACGGUCGAUGGAUGCAAAUACAUGGCAAACCGGAAAACAAAUCCAGUGGUCACGUUCUUUUAUAGCCCUUUUGGUCCCUAUUCCAACAUUAAUCAUUCGUAUCCCUAUAACCACGACAUAAUUGUGGAAAAAUUCCUUGUUCCUCUGUUGAAGCUCAAUUUACGAAUACAUUGCCAUUUUCAAAAUCUUCGUACGCAUUUUUUUCUGGCUGGUACGCCGAGGGAAUAAAGCAAGCAAGAGUUGAAGUUUAUGUAAAUUAUCAUAAAAUAAUUCUAAAAAAUAAAAAUGAUUGCAAAGGUAUCGUA